UACGUAGGGGGCAAGCGUUGUCCGGAUUUAUUGGGCGUAAAGAGCGUGUAGGCGGCCAGGUAGGUCGGUUGUGAAAACUGGAGGCUCAACCUUCAGACGUCGACCGAAACCCCCUGGCUAGAGUCCGGAAGAGGAGAGUGGAAUUCCUGGUGUAGCGGUGAAAUGACGCAGAUAUCAGGAAGAACACCCGUGGCGAAGGCGGCUCUCUGGGACGGUACUGACGCUGAGACGGCG
rnacentral:rRNA from 1 species